rnacentral:rRNA from 1 species
AGUGAACGCUGGCGGUAGGCCUAACACAUGCAAGUCGAACGGCAGCACAGUAAGAGCUUGCUCUUACGGGUGGCGAGUGGCGGACGGGUGAGGAAUACAUCGGAAUCUACUUUUUCGUGGGGGAUAACGUAGGGAAACUUACGCUAAUACCGCAUACGACCUACGGGUGAAAGCAGGGGAUCUUCGGACCUUGCGCGAUUGAAUGAGCCGAUGUCGGAUUAGCUAGUUGGCGGGGUAAAGGCCCACCAAGGCGACGAUCCGUAGCUGGUCCGAGAGGAUGAUCAGCCACACUGGAACUGAGACACGGUCCAGACUCCUACGGGAGGCAGCAGUGGGGAAUAUUGGACAAUGGGCGCAAGCCUGAUCCAGCCACACCGCGUGGGUGAAGAAGGCCUUCGGGUUGUAAAGCCCUUUUGUUGGGAAAGAAAAGCAGCAGGUUAAUACCCCGCUGUUCUGACGGUACCCAAAGAAUAAGCACCGGCUAACUUCGUG